UAAGACUGACUGUCAUCGAUCAGGACUGAAAACAGCAGCUCUCAUCUGUUCUCUCUCAAUCCUAGCAAAGAUGACUGCAAACGCUCUGAUGAUCUGCUCUCUACUGCUUUCUCUUGCUGGUUGUUCAGCUGAGAUCAUUCUGACUCAGAGUCCGUCGGUGGAUUCGGUGUCUGUGGGAAGCAGCGUCACUCUCAACUGCAAAUCCAGCAGUACUGGUUUAACAUCCAGUUUAGCCUGGUAUCACCAGAGACCCGGACAAACACCCAAACUCCUGUUCUACAGUGUUGGUAACAAAGUGUCUGGAGUUUCUGAGAGAUUCACUGAUGGGAGAUCAGGAACAAACUUCAUGCUCAAUAUCAGAAAUAUCCAGUCUGAAGACACAGGAGAUUAUUACUGUUAGCAGCAUUAUGAAUUUCCAUUAACACGGUGGUACAGAGCUGUACUAAAACCCUUUCAGUGAAAGAGGAACUACUGAUUUAGACACAUUGCACUCAUAUUACUCUGGACUGAACACUUAAUAUCAUACUUGUUUGCUUUUCACUAAUAGUUAUGAUUUAGAUUUGGCUAGGAGACACAGAUCAUAGACCAAAACUAACAAGUACAGAUUUAUCUUGGCUUUUUUUUUUUUUUAAAUAAAAGCACACAGUGGAUUGACCAAAAUGAUUCCAUGUGCAAUCUGACGGCACACCAAAUGAAUGGUCAGUUAUCUUAA